rnacentral:rRNA from 1 species
UACGUAGGGUGCAAGCGUUAAUCGGAAUUACUGGGCGUAAAGCGUGCGCAGGCGGUUGUGCCAGGCAGAUGUGAAAUCCCCGGGCUCAACCUGGGAAUUGCAUUUGUGACUGCACGGCUAGAGUGUGUCAGAGGGGGGUAGAAUUCCACGUGUAGCAGUGAAAUGCGUAGAGAUGUGGAGGAAUACCGAUGGCGAAGGCGGCCCCCUGGGAUAACACUGACGCUCAUGCACGAAAGCGUGGGGAGCAAACAGG